UAAAUUAAUGUAUUAAAAGAAAAUAUAAUUACCACGUUUAAAUAUUAAUAAUACACUUUAAAAAAACGAUAUGCCAACUUGGAAUUUAUCAUUCGGUCGAAUCUAUUGAUGUGGCAGAAAUAGAGUAAAAUAUUUUCAUGAUAAUGUUCGCUAAAAUAAUUUCUUGAAGUGCGUUUAUCAUAAUUUACGACGCAAAUAAAAUACAUUGGAGAAUAAUAGAUUUGUCAUUUUCAUUUAUCACAAUCUCCAAGACGUGUCAGCAAAAUAAUUUUAUGCUGUUCUUGGUCUUCCGUAGAUAAAGUAAACAACUACAACAACUACUAUAACAGCUUAGCCUCGGACUCUCCUCGGAAACUUUCAUACCGGUAUUUUUACUGUCGUUAUUUUCUUGUCAAAUAAUUGUGGAAAGAUGAAAGGCUGAUAAUUUUGGCAGGAUUUAUACUCAGAACUGAAGGUAUUUGAAUUGAUCACCUGUUGUUCAGUUUAGUUCCAGAAACUUGUAAUAACCUCUGGUAAUAGACAGUGUUUUUCAGAACUCACAAGUGAAGACAGCUUAUAUCAAUAGAUUUCCAGUUUUGUGGAAUAUGUUUGAAUUUCACAAUAUUGUAUGAAAAAAAAGGAAACCUAGUUACAAACUAAGAGUUAAUGUUAUGGGAUUAUACAGUUCAGCCAAAGUCAUUUUCUUAAUAAAAAAGAAAAGACUGAGAGUUUGUCAAUUGUAAUUACGUUUGUGAAAAAUUGAUUAAAUUGAAGACCCUAGUUCUAAAAGUGCUUUAGUCACACGAAAAUUAAUGUGACUUAAGCACUUUUAGCAAUAGGGUCUUCAAUUUUUAUUUAAUGUUAAAAAAAUUGACCAAAAGCUUUCUACUGCAUAUUUGAGUGCACAUGGAAAUUUGCAAUGGAAAAGAUUCUUUUCACAGCGAAUUUGAAGGAAAAGAUUUACCCUUGAGAUCACAUGAGAAAAGUAAUGAGAGGUCAUCAACAGAAGAAUUACAUUUUCAUUGUGAGACAUGUGGCAAAGACUUUUUAAGAAACAUCAAUCUUACAAGACAUAUGAAAAUACACUCUGGGGAAAGGCCAUUUUUCUGUGGGGUUUGUGGGAAAGACUUUCUAGAGAGCUCCAAUUUAACUAAACAUAUGAGAGUACAUACGGGAGAGAAACCUUUCCACUGUGAAAUUUGUGGGAGGAAUUUUUCUCACAGUUCUAAUCUCACCCAACACAUGAGGACACAUACUGGUGAAAGACCUUUCUCUUGUGGAGUUUGUGGGAGGGAUUUUUCAGAUGGUUCUACUCUCAACAAACAUCUUAGGAUACAUACUGGGGUAAAACCUUUCCUCUGUGAAGUAUGUGGCAAAGACUUUUCUCAAAAUUCUUACCUCACACAACAUCUGAGAACACACACUGGAGAGAGACCCUUUCAUUGUGAGAUAUGUGAAAAGGAUUUUUCUCAAAAUUCACAUCUAACAAAACACAUGCGAAUACACACUGGAGAAAGACCAUUUAGUUGUCAAAUGUGUGGAAAGGGUUUUUCACAGAAUUCCCAUCUAACAAAGCAUAUGAGGACACAUAAUGAAGAAAAACCAUUUCACUGCGAACUAUGUGGGAAAAAUUUUUCCCAUAAUUCUAGCCUUAAUGUACAUAUGAGAUCACACACAGGAGAUAAAUCUUUUGAGUUUCAGAUAUGUGAAAAACUUUUCCAGAUGGUUCCAAUUUGAAUGAUAAAUGAACAUGUGAUUUUGUCAGGUUUUUUAGGGAUGAAAGUUGUGCUUUCAAAUGUUUUAGGAGAGAUCUUUCUGUCUUUUUUUUUUUAAAUAUUUGGAGUUUUUUUUCACUUGUCCAUUAAAUUACACAUGACAAUACUUAUCACACAUAUAUAUGUUAUUGUAAAUCAUGCUCAAAUUAAAACAUGUACAUAUGCACAUACAUAAUCUGUGUACAGAGAGACUAACCAAACAAGACAAAAACAAUUUUAAUGAAAGACACAUAUACGCACACACUUAGCUGCUCACACACAUUCUCAAAAGUGUAAAUAUAUAAUAAUAAACCUUAGUAUACCCAGGUUUAACAGAUCUGGAGCAAUGAGGUGAUGAGCUCAAGGAUACUGACAAAGGGACUCUGACAAAUCAAAUGAUUGAUUAAUUGUUCAAAUGUUUAGUUAAACAAUCAAUUAGUUAAUUGGUUAAUUAGUUACUAGAAAAAAUUAAAAGAAGUAAAAUAUAAUGUGAGCAUGCAUUUUUAUUGGCAAAAUGAACCUCCCAAGACACAACAUAUUUUCAUUUUAUCAUCAAGUUAUAGAUACUUAAGUUUUCUAUUGCUCAACUCAAAAGAUAUAUGAGCAAUGUAUUCUUUUGCUUUUUUCAUUGUUAAAAUGCACACAGGGUGCAUCAGCUAUUUGAGAUCAAAAUCUUAAUUUAAAGAAAACAAAAAUUAUUUAUUAGAAAAAACAAAUAUAUUUUCAUAGAAUUUGGUACACAUUCUUACAUAUUUAUAGUGAAAGGCUAUUCAAUAAAGCUGCCAUCAGCCUCAAUUACUGCCUUGAUAUGGCUUCUGAAAUUUCUAAAUGCAUUGAUCAGGUGAUUAUUAUUCAUGUUGGCCAUAACAUCCUUAGGCCAACAGACAUCAACAAAUCCUUGGUAUCAUGGGCAGGUUUGUUGGCUUUCCUCUCAUGGUGCCCCAAAAGUAAUAGCCCAGAGAGUUUAAAUCAGGAGAGCUAGAAGGACAAAUAUUAGGAGUAACAUGAUUAUGAAAAUUUUUGGUCAUCCACUCCUGUGUUAUGCAAUCUGUAUGAAAGGGAGCAGAGUCUUGCUGGAACAUGUACACCUCCCCUAAGCAACUCUCUUGAUCCAAAGCUUGACAACUGUCUCUAUUGUCGCGAUGUCAGCUGCCACAUUAAUCUUAAUAUCUUGCAGGAAAAAGUGAGAAGGCAUGACAUGGCCCUCAUUUCUCAUGACUCCCAAAGACCUUCACAGAUGAUGGGAACUUGGUGUGCAUAACAGUGAGGACUUCAGUAGGGCUGGUACAGAGCUAUCUAUCAUUCUUCCUAUUUACUUUUGGAUUUUGGACAAAACUCUUCUCACCAGAGCAUGUUUGGCUCCUUGGGUUACUUGAGUUUGUUCAGCAAGUUCUUCAAUUGACUCAGAUAGUUCUCCUGGUUUCUAUCAGACAUGAACUGCUCUGUUCUCAUAAUAUAGGAUUUGUAUCUGUCUUUGUGCAUCACACAUCAAUCGUUGACUAUGGCACAUGAAAAUGAUUAGUAAUGGCCCUCAUUGACUUGCCAGGAUUGUCAUUGAUGAUGUCCUGGAUUUACUGGACAAACUUGAUUUUUCUGACAAUGUAUGACAGUCAAGAAUGUCUUUCUUUUGGCCACAGAAAAUAUUCCUGCUAAAAGCAAGGAGCUCUUUUCUUAUUUUAAACAUGAAGGACCUGGUGACAUUUAAGGUUUUAAUCUUAGAUCCCUGUAGUUGGCAGCUAGGGCAAUGAGAAUGGUAUGCCUUUUCAUUAUUUGCAGUAAAUUCAAAUUCUUCCAUGUUGAGGCUGAAAAAGAAGAGAGAUAUUUAGUUAAAGUCUGGGCCACUUAUUGUUAUUAAAAGUUUUCUUCUUAAAUAGCAGCACAUCUACAAAACAUUUGAAGAUAUUUUCAAUUUAUGAAUUGUAACUUCAUGUAUUUCUUACAUUUUAUUUAAAAUCUGUUUAUUCACAGAAUAUGCAAUGACCUAUAUACUCUCUUUUACUUGUUUCAGUCAUUUGACUGCGGCCAUGCUGGAGCACCACCAUUAGUCGAGCAAAUCGACCCCAGGACUUAUUCUUUGUAAGCCUAGUACUUAUUCUAUUGGUCUCUUUUGCCGAACCACUAAGUUACGGGGAUGCAAACACACCACCAUUGGUUGUCAAGCGAUGUUGGGGGGACAAACAGACAUACAAACAUAUACACACACAUACAUAUAUAUAUGCAUAUAUACGAAGGGCUUCUUUCAGUUUCCGUCUACCACAUCCACUCACAAGGCUUUGGUCGGCCCGAGGCUAUAGUAGAAGACACUUGCCCUAGGUGCCACGCAGUGGGAAUGAACCCAAAACCAUGUGGUUGGUAAGCAAGCUACUUACUACACAGCUACUCAUGCGAAUGCUUAUUAUUGAUUAUUAUUUUUUUCUUCCCCAUUUUAUAUCCUGGAACUGAUUCACAUUCCAGGUUUUUAACAUUUUUCUUGAAUAUCUAUUAUUUGGUAGUUUACCAAGUUGAUUCAUGGCCCAAAAUAUGAGCAUGCAUUUAUAUUUACAGUUUAUUGGUACCUAUAGAUUUCAGAGAGUUUUGUGGAUUGUUCUUUCAGUGUGCAUGUAGUUAAUAAUAAUGUUAAAAGUUGUGCAUUGAACUAUCAGAAGAUUAAUCUGUUAAAACUGAUCACUCAGUCAAUGGAAUAAUGAUAAAAAGAAAAAAAAUCAAUAAAAGUUGAUAGGGCUUGAGAGUUUCAGGUGAAUAUAGAUUUUUUUUUAAACUAGAGAAAUACUAUUAUGUAUUUCAUAUACUAAAAAUUAUUACUUGAAAGAGAAAAAAAAAUCUAUAUUUAUAAUUGUGAUAAUGCAUUGUCUAGCAUAGCUGUUAAAUCUCUAUAAAUUGCUGUAUCCAUAAUGUUUGCUUUUAAAUUUCUUUCAUUAUACACACUGUAAAGUGGUUGGUAUAAGGAAGGGCACCCAGCCAUAGGACUCAUGCCAAAGAUAAUAUUGGUGCUUGAUGUAGUCCUGUGGUUUGCUAGAUCCUGUAAAACCACCCAGCCCAUGCUGGCAUGAAAAAUGGAUGUUAAAUGAUGAUGAUCAUAUAGAGACUGCUUUUGUUAUUUCCUUGUUUCUUCUGCUAUUAGAAAAAUAAUAUAGAAACUUGUGCAGUGAAAGAAUAAAGUUAUGUUAUGACAGAAAGGUACUUGCCUUAAAAUAUUACGUUUUCAAUUUCCACAUAUGAUGACAUGCAAGAGUAAAAUGUUUUUAAUUUCUUUAUACUUUUUUAAGUUAACAUGUUCAAACAAAGAAUUAAUAUUUUAUUGGACUAAGGACUCAGGAUUAUAGGUUCAAAACAAGUAACUGAAAAACAAGGCAAAAUAUAAACAAAUCAAAUUUGCAAUUACAUUUGUGGCAUAAAUUUCAUGCCGAAACUAAAUGUGUCUAUUUUGAAAUUUCAUAUAUGGUAAUAUUGAUGAACAUUUCCAAAACUGUUUUGGUGAAAUUGCCAUCAUAAUAAUUAACUUCUGCAAAACAGUAACCACUAUAUGAAUUCCAAUAUUAUUGCACAAGAUUGUUUUACUAAUCUCAGGAAUAUACCUGUUAUGUUAUGUUAUUACAUAUAGGAUUUUAUUUGCAUUUGUACCAUUAAUAUUUUCAUAGCUAUUGUCUUUUUCAAACCCUUGCCAUUAUGAAAAAAGUAAUUUGUUAUAAUUUUGCUUUUAUGUUAACACUGAAAUUUGUAAAUCAUUUUACCCUAUUUUUUUUCAAGAACAAAACAAAAACAACAAAAAUAAAACUAGUUAUUGUACAUAACUGUUCAGACGAUAUAUAAAUAUUUAUUAUAAAUUUUAUUUGGCAAUGGAGGAGUAAAUAUUCAAAUAUUUUCCUGUGAUUUGGACCAGUGAAAUGCAAUGGAGCAAUUUAUGGGACCAUAAUAAAAAAGUUCUUGUUAUGAGUUGUUUUUCAUGUAGCUGUUCUUGAAUAAUGAGAAGUUUCAUAAGAACAGGUACAACUGUUAACUUUUAUAUCUUUUAUCUCUUAACUAUUUUUUGUUAAGUAACUGCUACAUCUUUGCUAUUGGAUGGUUGUGAAGCUUUAUUGUAUAAAGGUAUCAGCAGAUAUCAUCAAAAGCCUUAAGGUGAUAUUUGAAAUUUUAAUAAUGUAUUGAUGAUAGUAGUAUAUUAAUAAAAUAAAAUAAGAUAUAUUCUCUUUAA